rnacentral:rRNA from 1 species
AUUGAACGCUGGCGGCAUGCUUUACACAUGCAAGUCGAACGGUAACAGGCCGCAAGGUGCUGACGAGUGGCGAACGGGGGAGUAAUGCAUCGGAACGUGCCCAGUCGUGGGGGAUAACGCAGCGAAAGCUGCGCUAAUACCGCAUACGAUCUCUGGAUGAAAGCGGGGGACCGAAAGGCCUCGCGCGAUUGGAGCGGCCGAUGUCAGAUUAGGUAGGUGGUGGGGUAAAGGCCCACCAAGCCAACGAUCUGUAGCUGGUCUGAGAGGACGACCAGCCACACUGGGACUGGGACACGGCCCAGACUCCUACGGGAGGCAGCAGUGGGGAAUUUUGGACAAUGGGCGCAAGCCUGAUCCAGCAAUGCCGCGUGCAGGAAGAAGGCCUUCGGGUUGUAAACUGCUUUUGUACGGAACGAAACGGUCCGGGUUAAUACCCUGGGCUAAUGACGGUACCGUAAGAAUAAGCACCGGCUAACUACGUGCCAGCCGCCGCAGUAAAAC